rnacentral:rRNA from 1 species
AUUGAACGCUGGCGGCAUGCCUUACACAUGCAAGUCGAACGGUAACGGGCCUUCGGGUGCCGACGAGUGGCGAACGGGUGAGUAAUGCAUCGGAACGUACCUUUCAGUGGGGGAUAACGUAGCGAAAGUUACGCUAAUACCGCAUAUUCUGUGAGCAGGAAAGCAGGGGAUCGCAAGACCUUGCGCUGAUUGAGCGGCCGAUGUCAGAUUAGCUAGUUGGUGAGGUAAAGGCUCACCAAGGCGACGAUCUGUAGCGGGUCUGAGAGGAUGAUCCGCCACACUGGAACUGAGACACGGUCCAGACUCCUACGGGAGGCAGCAGUGGGGAAUUUUGGACAAUGGGGGCAACCCUGAUCCAGCCAUGCCGCGUGAGUGAAGAAGGCCUCGGUUGU